rnacentral:lncRNA from 1 species
UUUUCAUGGAAGUGAAUAAGUCUCACAAGAUCUGAUGGUUUUAUAAGAGGAAACCCCUUUUGCUUGGCUCCAAUUCUUCUCCAUGCUUCCCCAUGUAAGAUGUGCCUUUCACCUUCUGCCAUGAUUAUGAGGCCUCCCGAGCCACGUGGAACUGGUCUUCAUUACUCCAGCCAAAAAAAUAGUAAUGAAAAUGGAAACACUUCAAGGUUUCUUUGAAGACUAGAAAUAAGUUGGUGAAGGAUAUGGCAUAUAACAGAUGAGAUCACUGAAACUGGAAGUGGAUGGAUAGCUCUCCUAUGGAGGAGGGUCACACAUUUAAGAGUGAAAACAUGAACCCAGGCGGGUAGAAGCCAUCACUUGCUUGCUUAAUCAUCAUGCUGUUUACCCUCUCCCUGGUCAACUAUUUAGCAUAAGUGAAUAUGGAUAAAAUUGCCCAGAUGAACUGUUGCUCACUACAUAUUGCAUUUGUAGGUUAGAGUAAAUAACAUCUGAUAGAAAGUGUCAUUACAAUUAAAAAAAAAAAGAGAGAGAGCUUCAGAUGCCCAGUGUUGUACCCAAGCUAAAGAUGAAGGAUGGCAUUUGGAAAGGGCAUAUCACAGGGACUGCAGAGCCUGGGCAUGGAGCGAUGACUCAACACUGAGUCCCUGGUUGCUACCCACAGUCUGGAUGGCUUGCUGGUAGCCUGGGAAGCGAGGGUGGAGGGGUCAGUGGCUUUGUGUUGGAAAUUGUGGAGCAGAGAAGAAACAACUAUUGCAAAAGUUUCCUGCAACCACAGAGAACGUGUCCAGAGUGAUUUAUUGCAACUGGAGUUUCAUUAUUUCCUUCUGUCUAGGGGAUUCUGUGUGUAGGUUUCUGCUGACCUCCUUCCCCAGGAAGCGAGAACAGAAUGUGACCUCUCCUUGUUCUUUAUUGAGUCCAAGUGCUCAAAUGCACCUUCAGGUCAGACGCAAACCCAUGAGGGAUCUACUUUGAGCCCACAAUCAUGGAAUUCUGAUGUGCUACAAGGUGGCAGUAAAAAUGGAAACCAUCAUUCCUGAUAUUUUAAGCCAGUACCAUGUUCCAGUCAUACUAUAUCACCGAAUCUAAAAUGACUUCAAUAACUUUCACUUUUGUUUCAUGUACCACUAAGAAAAAAAACCCUCCAUCCAAUAACCUAGGAUAUACCCUCAAUUGUAAGUCACAUUCCAAUUCCAGAGAUGAUAAAAUGUGGUAAACAUGUGUCUGAAGAGUAAUUCAAUAUAGUGUUAGCUCAUUUGAUCCUCCCAUUGACUCCACAAAGCAGGCAUAAAUAUACACCUCCUUCAAGAAUAGGAAAGUGGUUCAGAGAUAUUAGAUAACUUGUUCAAAGUUAAACAGUCAGUAAGAAAGGGCCAAAAUUUAAACCUGGGCAGCCUGAUGCAAGCCCAUGCACCUCCUGCAACCUGCAAGUCACCUGUUCUCUGUGCAUUUAAGGAAGGAAGCCUGGUGGUAUCUUCGUGUUCCUUCUCUCCCUUUCCUCAGCUGAACUUCAGGCUUCACACAUUACAGCUUCCCUGUCCCAGACUGAGUCCCUAGCUGCUUCCAGAGGCCAGUAGAGCCCCAGAGGUCAGAACUUCCUCCUUGAAUCUUUUCAAAACUCUCUGGUUGGGAACAGCAGAAACUAUCAAUAGCAGACGGGGAGCUUGUUGGGAGAAAAAGGGCAGCUUGCAGAAUGGACCAGAGAGUGGGACAUGGGCAACGCCAGGAGUCUGGAUGCCAAGAAGUCUUCAAACCUCUCCUUGUAAGAAUCUGCAUUAGCCAAUUCUGAUUAAUUUUCCUAAAGUCGUGUCACAAAAUGCAAGAGUCAACAUUUCAGGACAGACAACCCCGUUGAGGAUUCUCAGGGGAAGUGUAAACUCAGCAGGGAG